AAAACAACGAAGUAAAAAAGAUUACCUUUAGUUUCGACCUAAAAAUUAGACCUAGAGUCCGUGUUUUU
rnacentral:tRNA from 1 species